UACGUAGGGUGCAGGCGUUAAUCGGAAUUACUGGGCGUAAAGCGCACGUAGGCGGCUCUUUAAGUCGGGGGUGAAAUCCUGGAGCUCAACUCCAGAACUGCCUUCGAUACUGAAGAGCUUGAGUCCGGGAGAGGUGAGUGGAACUGUGAGUGUAGAGGUGAAAUUCGUAGAUAUUCGCAAGAACACCAGUGGCGAAGGCGGCUCACUGGCCCGGUACUGACGCUGAGGUGCGAAAGCGUGGGGAGCAAACGGG
rnacentral:rRNA from 1 species